GUAGGGGGCGAGCGUUGUCCGGAUUUAUUGGGCGUAAAGAGCUCGUAGGCGGUUCGAUAAGUCGGAUGUGAAAUCUCCACGCUCAACGUGGAGGGGCCAUUCGAUNCUGUCGUGACUCGAGUCCGGUAGGGGAGUGUGGAAUUCCCGGUGUAGCGGUGAAAUGCGCAGAGAUCGGGAGGAACACCCGUAGCGAAGGCGGCACUCUGGGCCGGUACUGACGCUGAGGAGCGAAAGCGUGGGGAGCAAACAGGAUUAGAUACCCUGGUAGUCCACGCCGUAAACGUUGGGCACUAGGUGUGGGACUCUAUCGACGGGUUCCGUGCCGUAGCUAACGCAUUAAGUGCCCCGCCUGGGGAGUACGGCCGCAAGGCUA
rnacentral:rRNA from 1 species